AUUGAACGCUGGCGGCAGGCCUAACACAUGCAAGUCGAACGAGUGGCGGACGGGUGAGUAAUGUCUGGGCAACUGCCCGAUGGAGGGGGAUAACUACUGGAAACUGUAGCUAAUACCGCAUACCGUAGGAUGUGCCCAGAUGGGAUUAGCUAGUAGGUGGGUUAACGGCUCACCUGGGCGACGAUCCCUAGCUGGUCUGAGAGGAGGACCGGCAACACUGGAACUGGGCCACGGUCAAGAUUCCUCCGGGAGGCAGCAGUGGGGAAUAUUGCACAAGGGGGGCAAGCCUGCUGCAGCAAGGCCGCGUGUAUGAAGAAGGCCUUCGGGUUGUAAAGUACUUUCAGCGAGGAGGCGUUACUCGCAGAAGAAGCACCGGCUAACUCCGUGCCAGCAGCCGCGGUAAUUC
rnacentral:rRNA from 1 species